rnacentral:rRNA from 1 species
GACGAACGCUGGCGGCGUGCCUAAUACAUGCAAGUAGGACGAGUUGCGAACGGGUGAGUAACGCGUGGUAACCUACAUAUUAGAGGGGGAUAAAUACUGGAAACGGUAGGUAAUACCGCGUACCAUCGGAUGUGGCCAGAGGGGAAUAGCUAGUAGGAGGGGUAACGGCUCACCUAGGCGACGCUCACUAGCCGGGCUGAGAGGAUGACCAGCCACACUGGAACUGAGACACGGUCCAGACUCCUACGGGAGGCAGCAGUGGGGAAUAUUGCCCAAUGGGCGAAAGCCUGAUGCAGCCAUGCCGCGUGUAUGAAGAAGGCCUUCGGGUUGUAAAGUACUUUCAGCGAGGAGGCGUUACCCGCAGAAGAAGCACCGGCUAACUCCGUGCCAGCAGCCGCGGUAAUAC